GAUUUAAGAUUUGAUUAAGGUUUGAUUAAGAUUUAAGAUUGGAUUAGGAUUUAGGGUUUGAAUUAGGAUUUUCUUAAGAUUUAGGAUUUAAGAUUUGUUUAGGAUUUAGGAUUUUGGAUUUCAGAUUUUUUUAAGAUUUGAUUAAGAUUUAUUUAGGAUUUAGAAUUAGAUUAGAGUUAAGAAUUUGAUUUAGGAUUUGAUUAUGAUUUAGGAUUUAGGAUUUUUUUAGAAUUUAGAAUUUAAGAUUUGCUCAAGAUUUAGAAUUUAGGAUUUAGGAUUUGUUUAGGAUUUAGGAUUUGGCUUAAGAUUUUAUUGAAAUUCAUUAAGAUUUCAACUAAGGUUAAAUUAAGAAUUAAUUGAGAUUUAUUUAAAAUAAAUAUGUGAUUAUUCUAAUAUUUCUUUAGGAUUUCUUAAAGAUUCUUUUAAGAUUUAUUGUGGAUUUCUUUUAAAUUCCUUUAAGAUUUUUUAUUUUUUCUUUUAUAAUUUAUUUAAGGUUUCUUUUGAAUUUUAUUAAAGCUUGCUUAAAAUUUUUAAUAUUUAAUUAGAAUUUAUUUAAUAUUCUA
rnacentral:lncRNA from 1 species